AUUACACUGCUAAGCUUCACACAGAGGUAGAAAAAAAAGCUGAAAUAGGGAAAAUCCAGGUUCAGUGCCAGGUUCCUGAGAGCAUCGCAUUUCAAACGUUGUAGGAAAUCAGUCAGCAAGGCUUGGUGUAGAGAAAUGUGUUUUUCCUUUCCAGUCUCCUACUGAGAGGCAGGGUGCAGAUGAAAGAUGAAACAAACAAAAACCCGCAACCAAAAGCCAGCACCCUCCCAGCUCUUUGUCCCUCUACUGGUUCCUGACUCUGUUUAGUUUACAACUCUUCCUUCUACUCUUUAUUUGUAUCCAGAUUUUUUUUUUCCUUUUCUCACUACUGUUUGAGCACUACUAAAGGGGACUUUCGGUACAAAAGGAAAGGGCUUUGUCUUCACUUUCAUUACCAGUGUAAUAGAAGCAGCAUUCCCAGCAGGAGCUAACUGCAGAUCAGUGCUAAAUGCCCCUUAGUCCUCCAGGGACCCUCCUAUCUAUUGCAUGAUCAAUGUAAAUGAAACCUUCAGCCUAUUUUGCUUCUAAUCUUCUCUUCUACUUCCCCUUUAACCCUGUGUGUGCACAUGCUCGUGCGUGGGUUGGCACAGAAAGUGGGGCAUGGCAAGAAGUUGCCUUAACUGAGUUGGACAUAAUCAGGUUUUCAUGGUGGUCUGAAACAGCACCUGCAACAAUUGGCAGUUCCACAGUGUUUACAAGCCCUUGUUCCAGACCUCAGGACACUCUAAGUUACCCAGUAAGACAAGCUAUCUGCUCUGUUGCAGAAAGCACUACAGAAUACACUAGGGGUCAUCUGGAAAGAGGGAUGGUGUGAAAGUGCUAAAAUCCUGGCUGUGAAGUACCAGUGAGAAGCAGAUUGAAAUAACUGCUUUCCUUGGAUGGUGAUUUCACUAGAUCAGAAAUAAACUUGAAACUGGGAGGUGGAAGUAUAGCACAGCAGCAGCAAGACAGGAAUUUCAUCAGGAAUGCACUUCAUCCUGUCUUUAAUGGAACUGACUCCUGACAUCUCAGUGUCUUCUGAUGCUGUAUUUUUGCAUUUCUGAGGGAAGCACUGCUCUCUUUUCCUAUUCUUUUCUUUCAAGAAGGGGAUAAAGUAUGUACUGCCUCUGCCUGUUGGAAGCAGAGGUUGAGUCCUUCUUCAACCUUGUAUGUCUAAGAAAAUGGAUAGGUUUUGGUUUCAAAAAGUCUGGCAAGAAAAUGGAAACCAGAGAACUACCUGUAAGUAAUAGAAAAUACUGCAGAAAAAUAAACUCCUGCCUCAUUUGUAAAAGCUAUGUGAGGAUAACAAAAGGUCAUAUGAAUUGCUGCAGGUAUAGAAU